rnacentral:rRNA from 1 species
CCUACGGGAGGCAGCAGUAAGGAAUAUUGGUCAAUGGACGCAAGUCUGAACCAGCCAUGCCGCGUGCAGGAUGACUGCCCUAUGGGUUGUAAACUGCUUUUGUACGGGAAGAAACCCCUUUACGUGUAGAGGGUUGACGGUACCGUAAGAAUAAGGAUCGGCUAACUCCGUGCCAGCAGCCGCGGUAAUACGGAGGAUCCAAGCGUUAUCCGGAUUUAUUGGGUUUAAAGGGUGCGUAGGCGGCCUAUUAAGUCAGUGGUGAAAGCCUGGAGCUUAACUCCAGAACUGCCAUUGAUACUGAUGGGCUUGAGUAUAGUUGAGGUGGGCGGAAUGCGUCAUGUAGCGGUGAAAUGCUUAGAUAUGACACAGAACACCGAUUGCGAAGGCAGCUCGCUAAACUAUAACUGACGCUGAGGCACGAAAGCGUGGGUAGCAAACAGGAUUAGAUACCCUGGUAGUCCACGCCCUAAACGUUGAUUACUCGAUGUGUGCGAUACACUAGUACGCGUCUAAGACGAAAGACAUUAAAGUUAAAUACCACCGUCGGGGAGGGUAACGGGUCGGCGAAGAACGUAGAAACGUUAACAAAUUAAGAAGUUAGUACGGGCGUUGAGACGNGCCGAACGGACGACGACGAGGGGAAGGAGGAG